rnacentral:misc_RNA from 1 species
UACGGAGGGGGUUAGCGUUGUUCGGAAUGACUGGGCGUAAAGCGCGCGUAGGCGGGCUGGAAAGUCAGAGGUGAAAGCCCGGGGCUCAACCCCGGAAUUGCCUUUGAAACUCCCAGCCUUGAGUUCGAGAGAGGUGAGUGGAAUUCCGAGUGUAGAGGUGAAAUUCGUAGAUAUUCGGAGGAACACCAGUGGCGAAGGCGGCUCACUGGCUCGACACUGACGCUGAGGUGCGAAAGCGUGGGGAGCAAACAGG